AAUCGCUGUAAUCGCAGGUCAGCAUACUGCGGUGAAUACGUUCCCGGGUCUUGUACACACCGCCCGUCACACCAUGGGAGCCGGAAAUGCCCGAAGCCAGUGACCCAACCUUAGGGAGGGAGCUGUCGAAGGUGGAGCCGGUAACUGGGUGAAGUCGUAACAAGGUACC
rnacentral:rRNA from 1 species